rnacentral:lncRNA from 1 species
AUGUCUGUCUCACUUGUUUCACAUCUGUUUCUUGAAAGCGCUGAGCCACGCAGACCAGGCAGAAAGCUGCCGGGUGCCAGAGCCGAGGGGAAGCCCGGGAGCUGCGGAGGUUUUGUAGCCAGUCCAGCGCCCGGCGCAGCCUCUUGUGCCAAAAGCCCACGUCCUCCCGCGCGCCCCGCCCCCGCGCCUCUACUCCCCGCCCCAUGUCCCAUACUCCCUGUCUCUGAGCUCCCCGCCCCUACGCCCGUACGCCCCGCCCCUGCGCCCCGCCCUCCCGCUCCCCAGCGGUGCUCGGGCCCCGCCCUGCGCGCCCGCCGCUGGCCGCCUGCUGUUUGCGGGUCCGGAUUGGAGCCAGCGUGGCGCCGCGGGCAGGUCUCGGCACGCUACCCUUGGAGGCCGAGUGAAGGAGGCGCACCGAGCGCGCGGUGGAGCCCGCGAUCCGAGGUCGGCGCGGGGCUGGGCCUCUGGGACCCCGGAUCUGCCCGUCGGCCCGGGGAACAGGUUGCGCGCCGCGCUUUUGUGCUUCCGUUCGCUGCUGUUCCGGCGCUGCGAGCUGCGGCCCCCACGCAGGUACACAGCGGAGACGCGGACAUCACCGCACCUGGCCAGAAGCCUAGCUUCCUCGAGGAAAGUCUCUGGCUGUCAGCACCCCUGGGCAGGGAUAUGGCCUCAAGCUGGCUAGAGGCCAGGCGGCAGUGCCUCCGUUUGCUGAAGACGAGGGGCUUCUUGCUGCUGAAGCUCUCGGCCGCCGUCUUGGCCGUGCUUCUCUUCUGUGAAUUUCUGAUCUACUACCUUGUUAUCUUCCGGUGUAGCUGGCCCGAGCUGAAAACCCCUGAAGAUGCCGGCACCCCUGGGGCCCCCAAGGCCCCUGAACCUGUGCUCAGGGCCAUGUUCUUGGCUGACACCCACCUGCUCGGGGCCAUAAGAGGCCACUGGCUGGACAAAUUACGGAGGGAGUGGCAGAUGGAGCGAGCCUUCCAGACAGCGCUGUGGCUGCUGCAGCCGGAAGUUGUCUUCAUCCUGGGGGACAUCUUCGACGAGGGGAAGUGGAGCUCCCCCGAGGCCUGGGCGGACGAUGUGGGGCGCUUCUGGAAGGUGUUCCGACACCCGCCCCACGUGCAGCUGCGGGCCGUGGCUGGCAACCAUGACAUCGGCUUCCACUACCAGAUGGACACAUACAGAAUAAAACGAUUUGAGAAAGUUUUCAACCCUGAAAGGCUGUUUUCUUGGAAAGGAAUUAAUUUCGUGAUGAUCAACAGUGUCGCGCUGGAAGGGGAUGGCUGUGACAUCUGCUCCAGGGCAGAGGCUGAGCUCCUGGAAAUCUCUCACUGGCUGAACUGCUCUCGGGAGGAGCAUCGCCCCCGCGGGUGUGGAGACAGGCAGUGGCUGCCAGCCUCGGCCCCCAUCCUGCUACAGCACUUCCCGCUUUACCGGAAAAAUGAUGCCAACUGCUCCGGGGAGGAUGCAGCACCCCUCAACGAGAAGUACACCCCCUUCAAGGAGCGCUAUGAUGUGCUGUCCUGGGAGGUCUCGCGGAAGCUGCUGUGGUGGCUGCGGCCGCGCCUGAUCCUCAGCGGCCACACGCACAGCGCCUGCGAGGUCCAGCACAGGGCAGGCACCCUGGAGGUCAGUGUGCCAUCUUUCAGUUGGAGGAACAGAAACAACCCCAGUUUCAUCAUGGGCAGCAUCACGCCCAUGGACUACGCCCUUGCCAAGUGCUACCUGCCGUGUGAGGACAUGGUUCUGACCACUUACUGUGUGGCAGCCGGGUGCCUCAUGCUCAUCAUGUUAAUCCCCACUAGGCUUGUGUCUGUACCUUUUCAUUUUGGUCAGAGGGUGCUCAGAAAAUUUAAGACCAUGUGAGUAGCAGCAGACUUUUGCUCUCAGCAGUAGUAAGUCCCAAAGCCAAAAAAAAAUAAACUUUGGGAAGUGCUCAUGGACGGUGAGACUACAGUGGGCCGUGAUCACCACUCCUGGGUUCCGGAUCACUUGUAUCAGGCCCUGCAGGAUCAGUGUUGUUCCCAAGCUGCAAAAAUGGGACCUGUCUCUACACCGGGUCUGUCUGCUUGUUUAUCAAGUAUGUGUGUUAUCAGAGACUCUGUACAGUGUGCAGAAGCUGCGUGUGAUCACUGGCAUGCACUGGACAGCCUCCCUUCCCCAGGACUCUUCCCCAGGAUGGAGGGCCAGCUGUACACAUAUGUGGGGUCUGUGUCUGUCCUCCUGUGAAUGUUCUCAAGUUUCUGUUUUAUAAAGUCGUGUGCUUAAAAUAAAAUACAGAUGCUACAAGC